ensembl:lncRNA HOXA-AS2 HOXA cluster antisense RNA 2
CCGGAGAUAAGCGCUAGUGCGGCGCCGGGCUCUGCCUGGGCUAGUGGCACCGACUUGGGAAAAGGAAACGCCAAGACAUAGAAAACCACGCUUUUCCCGUAGGAAGAACCGAUGAUGAGCCCUGAUGAAAGAAGGAAGAAGACCCGCUGUCUGCGAAGGCCUAAAGGUUAGAAAUACAGCAAUUUUUCUCAUGCCGAAGGAAAGGCAAAAUGGUCUAAGAAACUGCAAGAGUGUGAUACAAGUUUUCCUCAACAGCGAGCUGGGACUGGCGACAAUUUCUUAACUCACAGCCUCCGCAGUCGCCUUAGUCGACAAAGAGAGCAGCCCACGCAGCGGCCG